UGAAUGCGCCAGCAAAAUGAUACCUAAGAUUAUUUUGCCUACAAAAAUUACGUGGAGACCAACAAGAAACUGAUCGCGGUGUGAACUUGUUAAAGGAACACUUUUUUCAUACUAAACUACGUUACCUUAACUUAGACGAGUUGAUACAUACCUCUCACGUUUCAAUGUGUGCACUCACUGGCUCUGGAGUGCGGCGCUACUUUGAUAGCACUUAGCUAGUCCAGUUCAUUCAUUAGGAUCCAAACAGAGAUGAAGUUAGAAGCGACCAAGCACAACUAUGUUUUCCCUAUUAAAAUACAGUUACACAAGUAGUCACACGAUUACGAAGUAUGGUGAGACAAAAUAAAACAUGGCGCAUUUCUAAGCAGGUAAGAGGGAUAACUAUAUUGUGUGGCGGAAUAACACUUGGGAGCACUUAGACUCGGCGCAGUAAUAUCCUCACUCCAAAGUGAAACUGAAAGUGCAAGAGUGAUGAUAUUACUACGCCGAGUCGAAGUAGGACACAAGCAAAAUGGUAACAGUAAUUAAAUGUUCAGAGUAAACAAAAACUCCUUCAAGCAAACAGCAGGCAAAGGCAGAGCAAGUCAAUGAAAGUCAAUGAGAGGGUCCUGGACGAUUGUGACAAUUCCACGGUCUGCUCCUGUUGGCACCGGAGCAAGCACAAUUUGCUGUUCCUCGGAAAUGUUUCAAUUUUGUUCAGCAACUUUCAUGAGAUUAAAAGAAAACAAACUUUGAGAUUUCUCAGGAAUAGGUCUAUCCCUCCAAAAUAUUGAGUUUUGUCUUUUUAAAAAGUAAUUCAUGUCAUUAAAAACUAGGAUGUUGCAAUACCGGGUCAUUUACCCCCUCCCCCACCUCUCCCACCAUUCUAGAUCAUAUUUAUACAACAGAUUGUCAUGUAGCUUAGUCAUAUUAUACAGGUGCUAGUCAUAUAAUUAGAAUAUCAUCAAAAAGUUGAUUUAUGUCAGUAAUUCCAUUCAAGAAGUGAAUCUUGUAUAUUAGAUUCAUUCAUUACACACAAACUGAUAUAUUUCAAAUGCUUAUUUUAUUUUCCAUAAUUAUUACUGACAAUUAGGCUAAUGAAAAUCCCAAAUUCAGUAUCUCAGAAAAUUAGAAUAUUACUUAAGACCAAUACAAAAAUAGUUUUUUAGAAAUGUUGGCCAUCUGAAAAGUAUAUAACAUGGAAAGUACUGUGUGAGCAUGUACAGCACUUUAAAAAAAAAUAAAGCAAACAAGCAAAAAAACAUAACCCUGGCUUAUCCAAUUGAACAACACAACUAUCUGGCAUGUUGUUUUCACCUCGAAACACCAACUUUCAUGUAGUAAAACUGGCAACGUCUUGGCAAUAUAGGCCUACUUGAUUAGUUCACUGGAUUUCGUUGUUGGAGAAUGAUGUUCUCGCCUGCCAGCCAGUAGUUGUGACGUCACAUAUAAAAUAUGAAUAGACUUAUUCACUGUCAGGGUGUGUCACUUUAUGAUCUUGACAGUUCAACGACUACUUUCGUCUUAGCCUGUGGUUUUCAGAGUGCCAGUUUGGUCUUAAAGUAAAUUGGUUCGUGUGAGUUUUUCCACCACAGUUGAUUUUCCACCAUAGUUCAUUAAUUUAUUUGACCAUAUCUACUUCAUAGGAGUAUCAAUAUACAGAACUAGAGAAUGUAAUUCCAAGGAAAUUACGAGUGCAUGAAAAUGCAAAAAUGUACAGAUAAAUCAUGUAGAUAUGGUUACUAAGGUGUUGCUAGGGUAGACAUGGUGGUUUCAUAGUUUUUGAAAGUUGAUAGUGCGAAGAUAGACUGUUUAAAAUUGAAUUAGCUUACCUGAUUACCAGAUUAGCUGACCUGGCUAAUGAUUUUUAGCAGUUAUGCAAAAAUGCUAACUAUGCUAACAAUGCUAACUAUGGUUACGAGGUUGAUUAGCUAAUUUAGUUGAUGAUUUCUAGCAGUUAUGUUAAAAAUGCUAACUAUGUUAAGAAUGCUAACUUUGCUAACCAGGUUGAUUAGCUAACUUAGCUAAUGAUUUAUAGCAGUUAUGCUAAAAAUGCUGACUAUGCUAACAAUGCUAACCAUGCUAACUAGCUAACUUGCUAGUGAGGACUUUUAUUUUGAAACAUUUGUUGCUAGGGUAUCCAUGAUGGCCACUAUCAGAAAUAAAGAAGUUACCUUAGUAUAAUCAUGUUGGUUGCUAUGGAAACUGUCAUAAAAGCUUAAUUUUAAUGGUUGCUAUGUUGGUUGCUAGGUACGUGGAGGUUUCAUGUAGUUGACUGGAGGCAUAGUUGAUGAUAACUGACAGUUGGAGUGGUUGAACAGUUAAAUAGUUGAGUAUUUUCAAUGGUUAAAUGAUUUAAUAGUGUGUUAUUGCAGCGAGGACUUUUAUUUUGAAACAGUUGUGGACAGAGGAAGUAGUGAAACAGGAUCUGUACACUGUAAAAAAUGAAUCCUGGUGCCACGGAUAUUACACAGAAAAAAUCAAGUAUGUCUUGAUUUCCUUAAGUAAUCACCUUAAAAUAAUAAUGACUAUGUAUUUUCCCAAAUAAAUCAACUACAUUUACGAGAAAAAAAUUCAGAGAAAGUGCUCCCUAAAAUAAUUGCGGCAAGUUGCACAAUUUCUCGCAAGUAAAUGUGCAGCCCCUUUUCCUUAAAUAUUUCAAACAUCCUAACUGCCACUUCACAAGUCGUUCACUCUCCACACACACCGCGACUGGAUUUGAAGGCUCAUGCAGGUCGUCUGUCAACAUCGGCAAAAUCUACUAAUCGAGACUUCCUCCAUUGACAGAAGCAGAGAGAUGGUUUUGCAAGGGCUGAUUCGAUACCUGUGUGAGAAACCAGGAGACUUAAUCCAGGAGUACAGUUGAGAGGCAGCGGUUCAAGGAGACUUCAUCAGACCUCAAUCCAACAGAACACCUUUGGGAUGAAUCAGUGGAAACUGAGAGCCAGUGUCCUCAUCCAACAUCUGAGAGAUGCCUAUGCAGAGCGGGGACUUCCUCCAUUGACAGAAGCAGAGAGAUGGUUUUGCAAGGGCUGAUUCGAUACCUGUGUGAGAAACCAGGAGACUUAAUCCAGGAGUACAGUUGAGCAGCGGUUCAAGAAGACUUCAUCAGACCUCAAUCCAACAGAACACCUUUGGGAUGAAUCAGUGGAAACUCCAACAUCAGUGUGUGACCUCACAAAUACGCUUCAGGAAGAAUGGCCGAAAAUUCAAAUGAACACACUCCUAAACCUUGUGGAAAGCCUUCCCAGAAGAAUAGAAACUUUUAUACUGUAGCUGCAAAGGGUGGACCAACGUCAUAUGGAUUAAGAAUGGGAUGUCACUCAAGUUCAUAUGCGAGUCAAGGCAGGCAACUCAGUACUUUGGCCAAUAUAGGCUAGUGUAGUGAGUAGAACGAUGCUGCGGUCGUCUUGGAAGGUCAUCUUUUGUAUGUCAGGUUAAAUGUACACUGAAUAAAUGUUGUUAAUUGAAAUACUGAUUGUCUAUUUGUGUAUAAACACCACAUACCAC